rnacentral:lncRNA from 10 species
CGCAGACAUGAGGGCGAGGCUAAAACAGUAAGGUCAAGUUGUUUCGACAGAAAGCCUACAGGGUGCGGUCCUGGCUCUUGUGUAAGAAUUCUGACUGCACUAACCAUGCCUAGGAAGGAAAGGAGUUGUUGUUUUGUAAAGGAUUGAGGUUUGGAAGAUUAAUCGGACACGGUCAGCAGGGAGAGCACUUGUGUUUUUAUGAGAAUUAUGCCGAGAUAGGUAACAGAUGAGGAUGAAAUUUGGGCUUGACUGAAGUAAUGGGGGCUGUCUGUGAAGCCCUGUGGCAGUACAGCCCAGGUAAUUUGCUGAGCCUAAUGGGUGUCAGGGUCAGUCUAAGUGAAAGCAAAGAGAGGCUUGGAUGAAGGGUGCAAAGGAAUAGUAAAGAAAGCAUGUGUGAGACCCAGAACAAAAUAAUGGGUAGUAGAGUGAGGUAUUGAGGAUAGGAGAGUAUAUGGGUUUGGCACCACGGGGUGGAUAGGCAAAACAAUUUGGUUGAUAAGGCUAAGAUUCUGAACUAACUCGUAAGCCUUGUCCAGUUUUAGGACAGGUAAAAUAGGGGAAUGGUAAGGAGAGUUCAUAGGCUUUAAAAGGCCAUGCUGUAGCAGGCGAGUGAUAACAGGCUUUAAUCAUUUUAAAGAGUGCUGUGGGAUGGGAUCUUGGCAUUGAGCGGGGUAAGGGGGAUUAGGUUUUAAUGAGAUAGUAAGGGGUGCAUGAUCGGUCGCCAAGGAGGGAGGAGAGGUAUCUUAUACUUGUGGGUUAAGGUGGGGGGAUUCAAGAGGAGAAUACAAAGGAGGCUUUGGAUUGGGAAAAAGGGUGGCAAUGAGAUGCAGCUGUAGUCCAGGAAUAGUCAGGGAAGCAGAUACUUUAGUUAAAGUGUCUCAUCCUAAUAAGGGAACUGGGCAGGUGGGGAUAACUAAAAAGGAGUGCUUAAAAGAGUAUUGUCUAAGUUGGCACCAGAGUUGGGGAGUUUUAAGAGGUUUAGAAGCCUGGCCGUCAAUACCCACAACAGUUAUGGAGGCAAGGGAAACAGGCCCUUGAAAAGAAGGUAAUGUGGAGUGGGUAGCCUCCGUAUUGAUUAAGAAGGGGACGGACUUACCCUCCACUCUGAGAGUUACCCGAAGCUCGGCAUCUGUAAUUGUCUACAGGGCUUCCAAGGCGAUCGGGCAGCGUCAGUCUUCAGCCGCUAAGCUGAGAAGAUCUGGGAAGGAGUCAGAGAGCCUUGGGCCAGAGUUCCAGGGGCUUUGGAAGUGGCUACCAGGUUUUGAUUACUGAAGAUUCCACUCACUGAACUCCUUGUGUAUCAGAAAGUGAGAGAUUUUCUGUCUUCCUGGAAAACCCUUUAUUUAUCAAGGACUCCGCCAUCCUCUUAAGCUCCAAAGCUGCCUCUUCCUUCCCAGUCUCGGCACAGACACUGCUGACACGCCUCUGACCACGAGCAUGUGGCCAGGUCUCCAGAUCCAUGCCUAGCCCAAGGAUCUCAGGACAUAAUUUUCUCUACUUGGAGUUUGGUGAGAACUACGAAUUUCUUAACGUCAUAUUGACUGCUUAAAAUGAAAAAUCCUAAACCUGUGGAGGUCAAGGGUGAAAAGAAUUUUAAUUAUCUUAAAAUAAUGGAGAAAAGGAACAGUAGAGAUUUCAUGACUUUAGCUCCUGGUGAGGUUGAAAAAAUUAAAGGCCAAAGAAAUUAAACUUAUCCUGUAAAUGUAUGGAGCUGGUCAGUGACAAGGACAGGAUGAGGAUCCUGGCUUCCUGGGGUCCUGGUGAUACCGGUUGGUCCUCUCAGCUCUGUGCCAUGCAGCCUGUCCUGGUGUCAUUGCGCACAUGCUGCCCCACAGCAGUCACUCUCAUUUAAAUCCCAAAUGUGGGCAUAUUACAAAUUGCAUGCAAGACAAAAGCAAACUGAUGUCUCAAAAAUGUAGACAGGGCAUGUCAGAAGAGCGGUAUCAGUCAAAAUCAGAUGGUGUCAUAUAGCACCCUGUUGCACAACUACCCAUGAAAAUGCCUUGGUCAGGGAGAGGGGCAGUGUGGAGAACAAAACCACCUUCUGUAAACCAAUUCUACUCCUUUGGGAGAUGACUAUGUAAUGGAUGGUGGAGAGUAGUUUCAGUUCUGUAUGGAACACAACCACUGAGAAUCAUGCUGAUAAUCACAGUAAUUUUAAUACACAUUUUUAAAAAGGGCUUCCUAUAUCCUGGGUGCUAUGUUGUUCCAGUUGUCCAAAUGAAAGCUGAAUUCUGUCCAUUCUACAAUGUAGGUCUGCUAUCUAAAGAAACAUCCAACCUCUAUCUCAGCCAGCUGCCUCUGCUCAUUCAACAGGGUGCCAAUUUUCCUUCACUGUAAGCAUGCACUCUCCCCCUAGAGAGCAAGAUUCAGCAGUUUAGACAACAUGUUUUCUCACCCUUUCAAUAGUCAGACACUGACUAAAAGAAUAAAGGUGACCAAUACACCUUUUACCACCAAAAGCCCUGACUUCUAAACCAGUUGUAUUCUCCACCUGCAUAAUAAUGUAUAUGAUCCACCUCUCUUCACCCAAGAUAGACAUGAGCAAUGGAGUGCACCAGCCCUAGCAGCCAUUGCCUCCCUUUCCCACAUUAAUCCACUUGGCAGGCCAAAGCAAACAUACUGCCCAGGGCUCAUGUACCUGCGCAACUUCUUCCCCCACCCCCACACACAUUGUCUCUGGGCUUGGUUUUAGGUCUUGCUUUGACCCAUGAACAUUAACAAGCGGGAUGUAAACAGAGGCUUGGUAAACCCUUGCGCACUGGAGCUGCCUCUCGUGGUACACUCUGUCGCGAAGUCAGUCUCGUCUCUAUGCUAUAAAGAAACUCCAGCUAGACUGCUGAAGAUGAGAGGGCACAGGCACGGAGCUCUGAAGGUGGGAGCCUUUAGAUGGUCCACGCCAGCUGAGCUGCACGUUAUCUCUCAACCACACAGGUACACCUGAGCAAAAGAAGUGCUUGGCUGAGCCCCGUCCACCCACAGGAUCAUGAGAAAGAAUAAGUAGCUGUUGCUCUAAGUCACUAAGUAUUGGGGUGGCUUGUUACACAGUGAUAGAUAACUAAACUGGUGUAUCUCUACUGGAGGUUUUAAAGAGUCCCUCUAUAUCCUUUCUAUACAAGUGCAGAAACAGAGAAGGGAAAUUAAGGUUUAAAAUAUCCUCCAGGAGUAAUAGUUCUACGUAUCUCAGGCAAAGUCCCUUAGCAAAUUAGUCUUUUUGUUUCUCUCUCUAAUAAUUAAGGAUAAUAGCAACCAAUCCUAUGUAUGUCCACACGUAUAGUGUGAGGUUAGAAGACAUGAUAUAUUUAUUUAUUCAUUUACAUCACAACUUGGUCAAGAGGAGAUUUAGACAGGCUAGGGCAAUUGGUGAAAUAUUUUUCAUGCCCAAUAAAUGAAUGUGGUUCAUUUCAGGUAUUAUUAUAUUUAUUGAAACAUUUCUUCACUUAUAAACCCUCACUGUUUCCUGGUCUCCUCUAUCACAUUCACAUUUUUAUAAGAAAAAAUGUUCCUUGCUUUACCUAAAUAAUUAUUAGCUUGAUUAAUAAUUGAUCCCCUUCUACUGUUUCCAUUUUGAAAUAGAAACACUUGGCUUUCAGCAGUACCUGAUCAGUUUUGGGGGUGAUGGUGAAGUGAUUUAGAAAAGGAGCCAGUGUAAAGAAAGGGGCAGAGUAGGAAAACAGGGCCAAUUUACCAUGUGGCUGGUGACAUGGAGGACUGUCUAACUUUGGGUAGGCUCUCAGCCACACAAGGGCCAACCAUAAAAAUCAUUUAAGGUUGUCACAAGGCAAUAAUUAAUCAUAUAAUGACUCCGCCUCAUUCUCAUCCCUUAGGCUGAAAUAAGAUAACAAAGGAGGUAAAUUGUGUAGAUAAAUUAAAUGCAUUGCAAAUCCAUUCAUCAGUUACUGUGUCUGGUUUUAGAUCAUUAAUGCACAAUAAUAGCCUAUGUGCAGCCCUCCUAGCUUCAUGGUCUGUUCUGAGAUUUUAUCUCAGAGUAAGCAAAGGAACCCAGGAAGAGCCAGGACAGAGAAGGGACACAGGGGGAAGACAGUCGGAGUAGGGAGAAGUUAGGGAAUUCUAGAUGACUUUUCUGUAUGUUUUUUAACCAAUAAAACCUUUGAUAAAUACAUGAGUUAAGCCAAUCUAACUAUUUCAAUUGAUAUUGCUGUGGUUGGUGACACUUUAGAUAUAUCAGUUCUAAGUUCCUAUUGAGUAUCUCUUAGUGGAGAUACUUGAGCAGAUUCAAAAUAGAAUUCUGACUCAGCCAGCUGGGUCUGGUAUAGUCUAAGUCCAUGACAAACUGGAGCGCAAAGAGUGGUCAAUCUUUCUGAUUUUCAUGGCAAAAUCAGUUCUUAUAUUUACUCCUGAAGCACAUGAAUUGUUUUCGCAACAGCCACUUAAAAUACUGGUACUUGUCUUAAAGUGAAACCCUGAACCAGCUAUUAUCCAGCAACUGUCAAAUAGUGAUCAAUGCAAGUGAUAUUUCCAAAAGCUUGUGUACUAAGGGAUAUACUAGAAUGUCUAAGUUCUGUUUGUGCUUUAAGUUUGGACUAUAAGAAUACACCCAAAACAGCAUGCUUGGACUGUAAGAAUACAUGCCCUCAUGGGAAUGUUUUCCAAAGUGACAAUCAGCAUAUGCCACAUUGAUGUUAUACCUCUUGUUGUUGGAUUGAGAGGAAAUGCUAGAAGUUGCUAUAUGGGGGAUGUUUCUCCACCUUGUGCAAAGCCAGUUAAAAAUGUAAAAUAUUCACAUCAACAUUUUUGGUACCCAAAUUCAAGGGAAGAAAGCCAAUUCCCCUCUAGAGCCUCCAGAAAGCAACACAGCCCUGCCAACCCCUUGGUUUUAGCCCAAUGAGACCCAUGUCAGAUUUCUCACCUCCAGACCAUAAUGUAAUAAAUCUGUGUUGCUUUAAGCCACUUACAGCAGCUGAAGGAAGCUAAUACAAUGAGUUAAGUUUGAAGUACCUGUGGGACAUUUAGGAGGAAAGCAACAAAGGGCAAUGGGAUCUUCUGCUCCAGAAUGUGUUUCCUUUUUAAAGUUAAAUAUUGGGUUCCCAACCACAUGCAUCUUUCAUGUGCAAGCUAUGCCUCUUCAAGACUUGGUUUUACUAUUAGUAUUGCACAUUGUACCAGAUAACAGGGGAAACUGUGGUUGGGUGACUCGGGUUGUUAAAUGAUGACUGUAAAACUGUAAGAAUGUGCCAGUCCGCAGCAAAAGCUUCUUGCACGACAAGAGUCAAGGGACAGCCCAGCAUAAGGCUGGGGAACACAGCAGAUCCAUGACUUCCACAUGAUGCCUGGGUUGCAACCUUGCCUACUGACUCCCUAAACUACCUUUGUACACCAAAUUCAGACUUCCCUGCUUCACCAUCUGCAGGAUUCACUUGUCAUUUUUCAGAGAGGUGGCCCACCCCCUACAGUUCCACCAGGUCAGCAGCAGCAGCCGCGGCAGCUUUGUUCCACAGAGCCAGCCUGUG